UACGGGGGGGCAAGCGUUGUUCGGAAUUACUGGGCGUAAAGGGCUCGUAGGCGGCCAACUAAGUCGGAUGUGAAAUCCCCAGGCUUAACCUGGGAACUGCAUCCGAUACUGGAUGGCUUGAAUCCGGGAGAGGGAUGCAGAAUUCCAGGCGUAGCGGUGAAAUGCGUAGAUAUCUGGAGGAAUACCGGUGGCGAAGGCGGCAUCCUGGACCGGCAUUGACGCUGAUGAGCGAAAGCGUGGGGAGCGAACAGG
rnacentral:rRNA from 1 species